CCUACGGGAGGCAGCAGUGGGGAAUUUUGGACAAUGGGCGAAAGCCUGAUCCAGCAAUGCCGCGUGAGUGAAGAAGGCCUUCGGGUUGUAAAGCUCUUUUGUCAGGGAAGAAACGGUGAGAGCUAAUAUCUCUUGCUAAUGACGGUACCUGAAGAAUAAGCACCGGCUAACUACGUGCCAGCAGCCGCGGUAAUACGUAGGGUGCAAGCGUUAAUCGGAAUUACUGGGCGUAAAGCGUGCGCAGGCGGUUUUGUAAGUCUGAUGUGAAAUCCCCGGGCUCAACCUGGGAAUUGCAUUGGAGACUGCAAGGCUAGAAUCUGGCAGAGGGGGGUAGAAUUCCACGUGUAGCAGUGAAAUGCGUAGAUAUGUGGAGGAACACCGAUGGCGAAGGCAGCCCCCUGGGUCAAGAUUGACGCUCAUGCACGAAAGCGUGGGGAGCAAACAGGAUUAGAUACCCUGGUAGUCCACGCCCUAAACGAUGUCUACUAGUUGUCGGGUCUUAAUUGACUUGGUAACGCAGCUAACGCGUGAAGUAGACCGCCUGGGGAGUACGGUCGCAAGAUUAAAACGCAAAGGAAUUGACGG
rnacentral:rRNA from 1 species